rnacentral:rRNA from 1 species
CUUUACGAAGAGAACUUUUACUAGCUUGGUUCCGUACGGUAGGCCGAGGUCGACCGCUGAUUGAUGAAUCUGAGUAACUGAAGGACCUCCUCACGCUAAUAACAGCGGGAGGCGAUGCAUUCGAACAUCUGCCCUAUCAACUGCUGACGGUAGUGUAACGGACUACCGUGGUUGUGACGGGUAACGGGGAAUCAGGGUUCGAUUCCGGAGAGGGAGCCUGAGAAACGGCUACCACUUUUAAGAAAGGCAGCAGGCACGCAAAUUACCCAAUGUCGGCACGACGAGGUAGUGACGAAAAAUAACGAUAUGAACCCAUUGGGUUUGUAAUCGGAAUGGAAGAGAUUUAACAAAUCUCUUGAGGAUCAAGUAGAGGGCAAGUCUGGUGCCAGCAGCCGCGGUAACACCAGCCUCUACAAGCAUAUGCAAAAGUUGCUGCGUUUGAAAAGCUCAUAGUUGGAUCCGUGGUCUGUGCAACUUCUUCCUGCGGUCCCGGUCAUUUUGAUGCGGUCUGCAGACGUUGUUCUGGACUGUCCUUUCGUUAGGGGUGUUUGCACUUCAUUGUGUUGAACAUUCUGA